GACGAACGCUGGCGGCGUGCCUAAUACAUGCAAGUCGAACGCAGUGGGGACGGGUGAGUAACACGUGGGUAACCUAACAUAAGCGGGGAUGACACUUGGCAACAGGUGCUAAACCGAUACUGAUGGAUGGACCCGCGGUGCAUUAGCUAGUGGGUGAGGUAACGGCUCACCAAGGCCACGAUGAAUAGCCGGCUGGAGAGGGUGAUCAGCCACACUGGAACUGAGACACGGCCCAGACUCCUACGGGAGGCAGCAGUAGGGAAUAUUCGGCAAUGGACGAAAGUCUGACCGAGCAACGCCGCGUGAGUGAAGAAGGUUUUCGGAUCGUAAAACUCUGUUGUUAGAGAAGCGUUAUCUAACCAGAAAGCCACGGCUAACUACGUGCCAGCAGCCGCGGUAAUAC
rnacentral:rRNA from 1 species